GACGAACGCUGGCGGCGUGCUUAACACAUGCAAGUCGAACGAUGACGACCGAGCUUGCUCGGUCUGAUUAGCGGCGAACGGGUGAGUAACACGUGAGCAACCUGCCCUUCACUCUGGGAUAACCUCGGGAAAUCGGGGCUAAUACCGGAUAUGAGCUCCUGUCGCAUGGCGGGUGUUGGAAAGUUUUUCGGUGAAGGAUGGGCUCGCGGCCUAUCAGUUUGUUGGUGAGGUAGUGGCUCACCAAGGCGAUGACGGGUAGCCGGCCUGAGAGGGCGACCGGCCACACUGGGACUAAGACAGGGCCCAGACUCCAACGGGAGGCAGCGGUGGGGAAUAUUGCACAAUGGGGGAAAGUCUGAUGCAGCGACGCCGCGUGAGGGAUGACGGCCUUCGGGUUGUAAACCUCUGUCAGCAGGGAAGAAGCGAAAGUGACGGUACCUGCAGAAGAAGCGCCGGCUAACUACGUG
rnacentral:rRNA from 1 species